CAUAGGUUAAUGAGGCGAACCGGGGGAACUGAAACAUCUAAGUACCCCGAGGAAAAGAAAUCAACCGAGAUUCCCCCAGUAGCGGCGAGCGAACGGGGAGCAGCCCAGAGCCUGAAUCAGUAUGUGUGUUAGUGGAAGCGUCUGGAAAGGCGCGCGAUACAGGGUGACAGCCCCGUACACAAAAAUGCACAUGCUGUGAGCUCGAUGAGUAGGGCGGGACACGUGGUAUCCUGUCUGAAUAUGGGGGGACCAUCCUCCAAGGCUAAAUACUCCUGACUGACCGAUAGUGAACCAGUACCGUGAGGGAAAGGCGAAAAGAACCCCGGCGAGGGGAGUGAAAAAGAACCUGAAACCGUGUACGUACAAGCAGUGGGAGCACGCUUAGGCGUGUGACUGCGUACCUUUUGUAUAAUGGGUCAGCGACUUAUAUUCUGUAGCAAGGUUAACCGAAUAGGGGAGCCGAAGGGAAACCGAGUCUUAACUGGGCGUUAAGUUGCAGGGUAUAGACCCGAAACCCGGUGAUCUAGCCAUGGGCAGGUUGAAGGUUGGGUAACACUAACUGGAGGACCGAACCGACUAAUGUUGAAAAAUUAGCGGAUGACUUGUGGCUGGGGGUGAAAGGCCAAUCAAACCGGGAGAUAGCUGGUUCUCCCCGAAAGCUAUUUAGGUAGCGCCUCGUGAAUUCAUCUCCGGGGGUAGAGCACUGUUUCGGCAAGGGGGUCAUCCCGACUUACCAACCCGAUGCAAACUGCGAAUACCGGAGAAUGUUAUCACGGGAGACACACGGCGGGUGCUAACGUCCGUCGUGAAGAGGGAAACAACCCAGACCGCCAGCUAAGGUCCCAAAGUCAUGGUUAAGUGGGAAACGAUGUGGGAAGGCCCAGACAGCCAGGAUGUUGGCUUAGAAGCAGCCAUCAUUUAAAGAAAGCGUAAUAGCUCACUGGUCGAGUCGGCCUGCGCGGAAGAUGUAACGGGGCUAAACCAUGCACCGAAGCUGC
rnacentral:rRNA from 1 species